rnacentral:rRNA from 1 species
AGACCGAUAGCGAACAAGUACAGUGAUGGAAAGAUGAAAAGAACUUUGAAAAGAGAGUGAAAAAGUACGUGAAAUUGUUGAAAGGGAAGGGCUUGAGAUCAGACUUGGUAUUUUGUAUGUUACUCUCUCGGGGGUGGCCUCUACAGUUUACCGGGCCAGCAUCAGUUUGAGCGGUAGGAUAAGUGCAAAGAAAUGUGGCACUGCUUCGGUAGUGUGUUAUAGUCUUUGUCGAUACUGCCAGCUUAGACUGAGGACUGCGGCUUCGGCCUAGGAUGUUGGGCAUAAUGAUCUUAAGUCGCCCGUCUUGAAACACGGACCAAG